CGUAACGGGCACCACCGACCCGUCUUGAAACACGGACCAAGGAGUCUAACAUAUGUGCGAGUUCACGGGUGUUAAACCUGAAUGCGCAAUGAAAGUGACUGCUGGGAUUUUUGCACCAGCAACCGACCAAUCAAUUGUGAGAGGUUUGAGUAUGAGCAUAUCUGUUAGGACCCGAAAGAUGGUGAACUAUGCCUGAGAAGGGUGAAGUCAGGGGAAACCCUGAUGGAGGCUCGUAGCGGUACUGACGUGCAAAUCGUUCGUCAAACUUGGGUAUAGGGGCGAAAGACUAAUCGAACCAUCUA
rnacentral:rRNA from 1 species